CCGGUCGGUCAAUAGACAACUGACUGACCACCAAAUAAAUUGUGAUGACCGUUUUAUUGGUUCGAUUCCAGAUUUUCUUUGUCCACUAACAGUCCCAGAUCUGAAGCUAAUCUAUCUAUCACUCAAUCAAACAAGAACAAUUUGGUCAAAGAAAGAAAACGUUCAUUUUAAAUUGACCACAAUUCACCAUAUUAUUGUUUGCUGAUUUGUUCCAGAGAUUGUCGAAUAAUAAUUGACCUCCUGCAGACGUUGAACUGGCAUUGCAUUUGAAAUGGAUUGUUUGUUUUUACUGACUUGAUUUAAAUGUUUAGUAAUCACCAUUUAACACACACACACACACACAUAAUAUACACACAAAAUCGAGAAAACAAGCGAGAGAAAAAUAGUCGAGACCAAAUGUUAACAGAAUCGUGGGUGGUGAUGAUCCGAAUUCAUCUCAACAACAGAGUCGAACAAGCGAAUAUAUUGAAUUGAAUGAGCAAAAACGAAACGAAAACGAAACGAAAAAAGUAAAAAAAUGGUUUUGAUUCACCAUCAAUAUCAUUAUAUGAGCCUUAAAUCCUUAAAGCUUUCUCUUCUUCAUUUGUAAUUUGUGGAUUUCUUGCCCGACUAAAAAC